rnacentral:rRNA from 1 species
CAUGCAAGUCGAGCGAACAGACGAGGAGCUUGCUCCUUUGACGUUAGCGGCGGACGGGUGAGUAACACGUGGGUAACCUACCUAUAAGACUGGGAUAACUUCGGGAAACCGGAGCUAAUACCGGAUAAUAUUUCGAACCGCAUGGUUCGAUAGUGAAAGAUGGCUUUGCUAUCACUUAUAGAUGGACCUGCGCCGUAUUAGCUAGUUGGUAAGGUAACGGCUUACCAAGGCAACGAUACGUAGCCGACCUGAGAGGGUGAUCGGCCACACUGGAACUGAGACACGGUCCAGACUCCUACGGGAGGCAGCAGUAGGGAAUCUUCCGCAAUGGGCGAAAGCCUGACGGAGCAACGCCGCGUGAGUGAUGAAGGUCUUCGGAUCGUAAAACUCUGUUAUUAGGGAAGAACAAACGUGUAAGUAACUGUGCACGUCUUGACGGUACCUAAUCAGAAAGCCACGGCUAA